rnacentral:misc_RNA from 1 species
CGCACAUUGCGCCCUUUGGCAUUCCGAGGGGCAUGCCCGUUCGAGCGUCAUUAAACCCACUCAAGCCUGGCUUGGUCUUGGGCGUCGGGGACUUCCCCGCGCCUCCAUGUCGCCGGCUGGCCGUUGUUUGACUUAGCGUUGUGACACAUGUCGCUGACGUCGACGACGGACCGCGCCGUGAGAACCCCCUUGGACGUCUAUGGACGCCCAGUAAAGGUUGACCUCGGAUCGGGUAGGAAUACCCGCUGAACUUAA